AUUAUCGGUCUUACUAGUCUAGACGAUUCGUUCCUAACCCAAGUAGUUCGCAUACACUAGAUAGUAAACACGUAGCAAAUAAGAGCAAAAAAAUUAAAACACACAAAAGAAAGGGUGUAAAAGUGAAAGAAAAACCUAAAUCUAGGGUUCCCUAAAAAAAAUGAACUAGACCUUGCUCCUAACGUUAAGGACCACCAAAAACUCGAUAAAUCCAAAAUUAUUCGGACCGGUCUGGCCAGUUUGGAGCAGGCAUUGCCAAGAGGCCAAUCUCCUCGCUUAGACACCAAACCUUAAUCGGCCAGGUAAGCUUUCG
rnacentral:lncRNA from 1 species